GGCCCAAUGGUCUAGAAGUAUGAUACACGCUUCGGGGUCUCCCGCUUGCUUACGUAAGCUGUGUGUGGUCCCGGGUUCAAUUCCCGGUUGGGCCC